CGGACGGGUGCGUAACACGUGAGCAACCUGCCUCUUACAACGGGAUAACACAGAGAAAUUUGUGCUAAUACGGUAUGAGACUACGAGAUGGCAUCAUCUAGUGGUUAAAGUUCAGGCGGUAAGAGAGGGGCUCGCGGCCCAUUAGAUAGUUGGUGAGGUAACGGCUCACCAAGUCGACGAUGGGUAGCCGACCUGAGAGGGUGAUCGGCCACACUGGAACUGAGAUACGGCCCAAACUCCUACGGAAGGCAGCAG
rnacentral:rRNA from 1 species